GUGGCGGACGGGUGAGUAACACGUGGGUAACCUGCCCUUAAGUGGGGGAUAACAUUUGGAAACAGAUGCUAAUACCGCAUAAAUCCAAGAACCGCAUGGUUCUUGGCUGAAAGAUGGCGUAAGCUAUCGCUUUUGGAUGGACCCGCGGCGUAUUAGCUAGUUGGUGAGGUAACGGCUCACCAAGGCAAUGAUACGUAGCCGAACUGAGAGGUUGAUCGGCCACAUUGGGACUGAGACACGGCCCAAACUCC
rnacentral:rRNA from 1 species